AUAAAGCAUAUGUUUACUGCAAUUUACAGUCCACAGGCUAAUGCCUCAGAGCGCCUUAAUAGAUCAAUUAUAUCUGGUAUCAGGGCUUAUCUAGGGAAAGACCAACGGCUAUGGGACGAUAAGCUCGGUGAGAUAUCCUUCGCCUUGAGAUCUUCACAUCAUGCCGCAAUAGGAUUUUCACCAUAUUUUGCGUUGUUUGGUAAUCAUAUGAUAACGCACGCAGACAACUAUGAAUUGCUGAGGAGGAUAGAAAUGCUUAAAGAGGGCGAGAAUAUUUUGACUACAGACAAACUGCAAAUUGUUAGAAACAAGAUCAUGGAAAACAUCAGUAAGGCAUAUAAAACCAAUAAGAGAACGUACGAUUUGCGCACAAGAUACGUUACGUUCGAACUCGGCGAACACGUCUAUAGACGAAACUUUGCCCAAAGUAACAAGAUCAAGGCAUUUAAUGCAAAAUUAGCUCCUAAAUUCUUGAAGGCAACUGUAGUUCGAAAGUUUGGUAACCACUGUUAUGAAUUAGAAGAAGAUGGUCAACAGAUAGAAAAGUUCCAUGCCAAAGACCUACAAAAGUGCGUAACUUAAAAGAUGACCGUUUUCCAGCUUAUUUUGAACAAGUAGAACUGCUUAAAAAUAACCUGUGGUGUGACGGCCAAUAUUUGGAUGGACUUAUUUGUGUGCACAGAGCUGUAGCUUAUCUGCAUGCAAGGGAAUAAACGGGAAUAAAGCGAAAGCUUUUGACGGGAGAGCGAGCUUUGGGUUAUCUUGGUGGGUUAUCUAGCCCUUGUGCUUUAGAAUGGGAUGAAGAAACAAAAUCAAAGCUCAAGCGCUGGAUCAUUCGAUCCAUGGAACUAAAUUGUGGAAGGUCAGUUUGGUGGUACGGCGAGAUAAAAGAAAAGAAAAGAAUAAAAUGUUAUACACGUGUCUGAAAAAAAAAGAAAAAUUGAAAUCAAUAAAUCGUCGAAAGUAGGGUGCACAUGCCAAGCUGCCCCAAAAAUUAAGAUCAGUGUGCCGAAAAGCCGAAAGAUCAGUGAUUCUCCAAAGAUAAACCCGGUUUCAAGCCCCAAACGGGGUCUGAGCUUUGCCGGUCGAUCUCGGUUUCUCCAGUGUAAUUUAAUAUUGACGAAAGUUAUCCAACGGAGGUCAAACUUCUGCCGCACAACGAAAAUUUGCGAUCAACCUUAUUUUUUACCUUGGCAGAGGACAUACAGUUGCCUCUGAAAUUCUAUGUCGUGGCCUGGAUAGGCACAGACAUAUCCAUAUCGGAUGUCUUCAAGGAAAAUGAUUGACAACCGUUGAUUGAAUUCAACCGUAGCUACUAUUGCUAUUAUUAUUAUUUUUUUUGCAUUUAAAUUUUGUACAUUAUAAUCUAAUCUAGGACACAUCAAUGCAUGCAGGCCUGUUGCAGCGAUGGAAAACCAAACUUGCUGUAACUGUAGAUAAAUAAGAUGUUAUGAAGAUUUGAGGUGAUGCUGAGGAUGGUUGUUAGUUGGAGUGGAGUUAAAAUAUGAAAAUACACUGACGAUUGAUCAACAUGAA